rnacentral:tRNA from 1 species
GCCCAGAUGGGGAAAUUGGUAGACGCGCCAGCUUCAGGUGCUGGCGAUCGCAAGGUUGUUGAGGGUCGUCGAGUCCCUGCCUGGGCACCA